AUAAUAAAUAUAUUCCAAAAAUGACUGUCUUUUCAGUGAUAAAUCGACUGUCCAUCAUUUUCUGAAAAAUUCACUUUUUUUUUAAUCCUUCGACGAUAUGAUCGUUCAAAAAAGUUUCGUAGUCUCCUAAAAAAAUCCGUGAAAAUGACCCAUUUUUGGCGCUUCAAGUGAUAUUAACCCCUCAAAAACAGUUUAUCCAUCGAAGGACAAGAAUAAUUGGCUGCCAGACAAACUUUUCUCCACUUACUGUAUUGACCAAUAUUGUCAAUGUUAUUUUUAAUAAUAAAUGUUUAACGUCAUCGAAUAAAAUUGUAGCAAUAUCUAAAAUCUUAGGAACAAUUUCUUCUGAAAUACAAGUAAAUGUCUGGCACGGUGUUAUAGCAAAUCGAUAAAGCUAUCACUGUCAACUGGCAAUAUCUAUUUACGCUUUCUAAUGUGGUUUUAAAUUCAUUCUGCAACUUUUGUUUUAUGAUUUUAGUUGAGUCAAAACACUUUGGCAAAAAGCUCCACGAGAUCAGAUCUAACGAAUAAGAAGGCUAUUAUAGUAUUUGGUAUGCUUUUGGCUUUGAAUUCGAUCAAAACUAUCGUCCUAUGGUGGGAUGCGUUAUCAUCAGCAUCAGCUAAAAUUCAUGAAUCAUUUCAAAAAUCUGAUUAUUUCUAAAAGAUUUUCUUACACAAAAGAAUAAAUAUUGCCAAAUAUUUUCCCUCAAAAUAAUGAGCCUCAUCUUGAAUAUUAAGCUGUUUUAAUUUGUUUUGUUUCAAUCAUUCAUUUCUUUUGACCGUUGUAAAAAUUAUGUUGAUUUAGCGGAGUGGAAUGAUUCAAGCACUAGUCUAAGGGGUUAUAUACAGUUGAGAUGGUCAGGAAAAUUGAAAAAAAAAUACUGCAUAUUUUUGCAUUGCAUUUUUUAUAAAACUUUGUUCAACGAUUUUUUGAAUUUCGUUUAGAAUCAUGAGUAUGUAAAUUACGACACUAUCAUUCUUUCUUAAAAAAUAGAAUCAUAUAGAAAGGCGAUAGAUGAGGAUCCCCCUCACAUCUGCGAGACGGGUGCAAUGUUUGACGCAGCCUUCAGCGCGAUGGACCAAGUUAUACAAGAGCCUGGCGCAUUUUUAGCCAAUUAAAAAAAAUGGAAAAUAAUAACCCCUUAAGAAGAAUAAUAUCAAAAUAGGUAGUUUGAAAAAGUGAAGGGUGUAAUGCCGUAUCCAAAUGAUUUGAACAGCAACUUCCUGCUCAUGUGCUUGUAUUGGCAAAAAAUCAUCUUCUCGGACGAGGUCCGGUUUUGGCUUAGCGUAAACAAGCCAAAUUCUAGGAGCGAUCACAAUCCAAAAGUGUUCGACCAAGCAUUAAAACACAAACAUUGACACUUGGAUGCGUUUUAUGGCAUGGUCAUAUCGCCGGACCCUAUUUCUUUCGAAAUGAGGAAGGAAACAGCGUUAUCGUCAAUAAUCCUCGGUAUAAAGCGAAGUAGAUCAACUCUGUGACCAGAAAUAUCCAAGCUGUAGUUCCAAUAAGGCGGCGUUACAUGCCAUACAACCAGCGCAAUGCUCGAAGUGGUAAAGGAAAAAUUUGGCGACUGGGUUAUCACGCGGGUUACGUCAACUCCUCAGUCUACGCUAAUGAGACCAUCACUUUGUAUGACCUCGACGCCAAUAUUUGAUAAGCUAUUGCUCGAAUAAAGCCAUUGAAACAUUGUCAGCGAGGCGGGCAUUUAUAUAAUGUGUUAUUCUAUACUUAAUGAAAUGAAUGUAUCUUAAAUAAAAAACCAGAAUCAAUUUGA